rnacentral:rRNA from 1 species
AUUGAACGCUGGCGGCAUGCUUUACACAUGCAAGUCGAACGGCAGCGCGGGCUUCGGCCUGGCGGCGCGUGGCGAACGGGCGAGUAAUGCAUCGGAACGUGCCCAGCAGUGGGGGAUAGCCCGGCGAAAGCCGGAUUAAUACCGCAUACGACCUGAGGGUGAAAGCGGGGGACCGAAAGUCCUCGAGCGAUUGGAGCGGCCGAUGUCGGAUUAGCUAGUUGGUGGGGUAAAGGCUUACCAAGGCGACGAUCCGUAGCUGGUCUGAGAGGACGACCAGCCACACUGGGACUGAGACACGGCCCAGACUCCUACGGGAGGCAGCAGUAGGGAAUUUUGGACAAUGGGGGCAACCCUGAUCCAGCCAUGCCGCGUGAGGGAAGAAGGCCUUCGGGUUGUAAACCGCUUUUGUUCGGGAAGAAAUCCUCUGGGCUAAUACCCCGGGGGGAUGACGGUACCGGAAGAAUAAGCACCGGCUAACUACGUG